rnacentral:ncRNA from 1 species
AAACGUUGUUGCGACAGCAUUCCUGCGUAGUACGAGAGGAACCGCAGGUACGGACCAAUGGCACAAUACUUGUUCGAGCGAACAGUGGUAUGACGCUACGUCAGUUGGAUUAUGCCUGAACGCCUCUAAGGUCGUAUCCGUGCUGGACCGCAAUGAUAAAUAGGGGGCAAUUUGCAUUGUAUGGCUUCUAAACCAUUAAAAGUUUUUAAUUUGUUUUAUUAACGACAAUGGAUGUGAUGCCAAUGUUAUUUAUAACAUAGUAAAUUGGGAGGAUCUUCGAUCACCUGAUGCCGCGCCAGGCAUGGUGUUGUAAGUGGUUGAGCAGCUGCCAUACUGCGAUCCACUGAAGCUUAUCCUUUGCUUGAUGAUUCGG